rnacentral:lncRNA from 1 species
CCAUAUAACUGUGCAGGGGGAUCUACCGGAAUCCCACAUCCGUAGUCCCAAAAAACAUAGACAAGUGGAAGCUACCGAAAUCCCACAUCCGUAGUCCCUAUGUAAAUACACAACAGCAACAGGAAAAUAUUCAGAAAUGGCAAAUUUCAUAUUAAGGCAAACAAGUAAUUCUAGCCUAGCAUGCUGCACAAAAUUCAGGUAAGACAGUUUGAGCAAGUAAAGCAAUUAAGUCUCUUAGACAUGCAUUUUUAAGCUAACAACAGGCUUAACGGUAUAAGUAAUAAAAACAGGAAACGAAACAUACUAGUAAUUACUUAAUGAAAACCGGAUUUCCAACAAUUAGCACAUGUACGCACUCGUCACCUCACGUACAAGGCAUUUUAAUUACCAAAUAUACCAAAUCCUAAGGAGGAAGGUCCUCCACACAAGGUUAGACAAGUCACUUACCUCGAAUCGGCUUAAUAAUCAAUCUGAAACCACGCUCUUGCCACGAGUACUUGACUCCAAAUGGCCCAAAUCUAUUCAAUUUAAUUGCAUAAUGUAAAAAACACUUCAAGUAACUGAAUCUACAAAAAACAAAAUCUAAGCUAAUACGCGAAAUUAGGAAAAUAACCAAAACGGCCCUUGGGCCCACGUCUCGGAAUCGGGUAAAAUUUAUAUUUUCAGAAUUCUCAUACUCUCACGAGUUCAUGCAUACCAAAAUUAUCCAAAUAUAUGGUCAAAUUCUCAAUCAAAAGUCGAAUUUUUGGUCAAAGAACAUUCUUCCAACCUUUUCCCCAAUUUUCAUCUCCAAUCCGAAAUUAAAUGAUGAAACUAACUAUAGAUUGAUGGAAUAUAACUAGAAAGGGUUAAAGAAUUGUUACCCACUGAUCUCCGCUUCAAUUUCCUCUCAAAAUCGCCCUCUCUCGAGCUCCAAAUCGAAUUUCCAACUUUUGAAACUAAACUCUCGAAAUUUCAUAUUUCUGCCCAGCUGUUACCGCAUCUGCGGUCCCACUUUUGCGGAACACUGGUCGCAUCUGCGACUUCUCACUUAAAACCCAUCUUCCGCAUCUGCGACUACCCAUCCGCAGGUGCGGUACCGUUACUGCGGAAAUCCUACCGCUUCUGCGGUCCCUGCUGAACUUCUUCAUUUCCGCUUCUGCAAUUGAUCCGCCACUUCUGCGGCUCCGCAACUGCGGGACCCAAACCGCAGGUGCGAUUAUGACAGAAAACCAGCUGAAGCUACAACUUCAAAACUCCAAAAUCCUUCUGUUAACCAUCUGAAAUCAUCCCGAGGCCCCCGGGACCUCAACCAAAAGCACCAACAAGUGUAAUUACACUGUCCAAACUUGUACCAAUCCUUAAAACACCUAAAACAACAUCGAAAUGACGAUUCAACCACGAAUUCAAGCCUAAGAACUCCAAAACUCUCGAAAUACGCUUUCGAUCAAAAAGUCUAUCAAACCUCGUCCGAAUGACCUGAAAUUUUACACACAUGUCACAUUCAAAUCUACGGAGCUACUCUAACUUCCGGAAUUUCAUUACAACCCUCGAAUCAAAAUCUCACUAUCGGACCGGAAACUUCAAAAUUCAACCUUUCGGCAUUUCAAGCCUAAAUUAGCUACGGACCUCCAAAAUACAAUCCGUACACGCCCCUAAGCCCAAAAUCACCAAACGGAGCUAACGGAACCAUCGGAUUUCCAUUCCGAGGUCGUCUUCACACUGUUUCAACUACGGUCAACUUUCCAACACUUAAACUUUUAUUUAGGGACUAAGUGUCCCAAAUCUCUCAGAAACUCAAAACCGAACAUCCCGGCAAAUCAAAAUAGCAAAAAUAAACUCGGGGAAAGCAGUUAAUAGGAGAUCGGGCGUAAAUUGUUAAGACAACUGGCCGGGUCAUCACAUUUCGACGUCCCAUUUGCAUGUCUGUUAUAGUGCGAGGCCGAUUGAAGCACCAACAUAUGCUUUAUGGUUAAUAGUGUAGCGACGAGAUAAGAAUUCUCUCAACGAACACCAAACUUGUCCAAUGUCGAUCAUAGCCGUCCAAUUUUGGUUCUUGACAAUUAUUGGAGAGAAUUUUAAUAAUUCUUAAGUUGAGAAUAUAUUAAGUUGUAUUUUCAAGAAUUGCUAACGUUUUUAUUAGGGGUGGCCAGACACAAGUGAAGCACCUGCUUUGAACCCCAAGAAUUUAAGGACCCUAAAAUUACUAUUUCUCAUAUAUAAUAUAUUAUUUAUAUAAUUAUUUUUUAGUAUUGAUAAAUUUAUUUCUUUAUUUUCAUAUUAAUUUUUAAUAACUUAAUAUCUUUCUCUAAUUAAUUUUUACUGGAUUGUAUCUCUCUAUUCAUUAGUUAGUUACGUGUGUGUAUAUAUGUGACUUAUUAUUUAUUUUGACUGGACAUGGAGUUUAUGAAAUAAAUGAAGACUUUUGAAAUUUAUGAUCUAUAACAAAUCAUAGAAACUUAUGUGGUUAGAAAUCAUCUCAUUAUAAGUUACAAAAUAUCCAAAGUUAAAUUAUUACCUAAAAAAAGGUAUCAAAUAAGUUGGGAUGGAGGAAGUAUGUUUUAUGGGUUCUCUCAUUUCAUUUGUGAUGCAAUCAACGUUAAAUUCAUUCAAUUUUUUGUACUUUAUAAAACCAAGUUCUCAUUUUUUUCAUUUUACAUACUCGCUUGUCUAAUUUUUUAAAUAAUAAUGCGCUCUCUAUAUAUAUAUACCCGCCCCUAUUUUUAUUUUAUGUUGAAGAAGUCAUGGUGUCAUUUUCUUUUGAUGGUUAUAUAUCUUCAAGUUGCAUGUCACCUUUCGAUCUUUGUGUUAAAGUAGUCGUUUCACUUCAUGUGUGCACACUCAAUAAUUAUGUCAUGCCUUUGAUCGGAGAUCACUCUUCAUAAUAUACAUUUUAGUGGUCAAACAUAUGACUGAUAUAUCAAUUCAUGACUAAUAAAAUUCGUGUUCGGCGGUCAUUUGUUUUGAAGUAAUUAUUUAAUCCUUAAAAAUAAAAUUAAUUAAGCCUUUAAUUUUCAAUUUAAAAAAUCGAAAUAUUCGUGACUUCUAUCUUCUUAGUUUCAAAAUUUAUAAUAUUGUAUUGAUCAAAAUUUGACAACUCGGUAACUGCAGAUAAGUCGUGCCAAGGACGGGGUCGACCACGGCAUUAUAACGAAGGGGUUACCCUCGUAAGGAUCAUUGCUGAGGACGAUUAACUGGAGUUGCAAUUGUAACGGUAGGACUGGCUUAGAAAAAGACACUAGGAAUAUUUCCUUGGAUAUUCCGAAUAUUGUACUUUUUAGGGUUUUUUGGAAACAUCCCUUAUAAGUAAUAAGAAAUAGAGAACAAAAAGUGGCUGGACUUUAUGAGAAAAAAGACUAUAUAAAAGGUUGACUUGAGAGAAUAUACAAAAGUUGUCUUGUUCAUUGAAUAUAUUAUUCAAGCACACGUUUGUGAUUCUUUAUUCACAAGAUCCAAAGAUUCCAUACCCAUCUUCACUUCUCACAUUUUCACGUCAUUGACAGAAGAAAGGAACAUCCCAAUCAUACAAUAAUUGGGUGGUAGAUCCUUUCUUAUUACACUUAUUGCCAUUAUCUGCAUUUAUUACGUGUUCAUGUUAUCACAUUUAUUGUCAAUCAUUGAUUAUUAAAUCUGUUAUUUAAUGCUCUGGAACACUGUUCAUCUCGCGAAUAUCCCUUUAUAUUUGAUCUAGAGUUUAUUAAGUUUAACUAAGAUUUGCCUUUUAAUUCAUCAUUAAUUUGUUUAACUAAAAGGUUUAAUAAUUUUUUGGUCAAACAAUUUGGUGUCGUCUGUGGGGAGGUUUUUAGUUAAAAUUUUAGUUUCUUCUAGAUCAUAAAAAAGGACAACCAUCUUUUCGUGGACACAAACUAACAAUGGCAGGAAAGGGAGAUGCAAGAAAGAAAGCAAUAGCGGGUGUCACUACUAACAUCUUGAACACCAUCAACGAGGAUGACAAAGAAGACAAUGAGAACGUGACGCCAAGCGUUAAGCCCAUGCGGAGUGACUCACCUCCCCCUCAUGAAAGUGUAACCGCUUCACGCGAAAGGGAAGCUUCCACGUCCACAACUGUGGAAGCACCACCAGCAGUGAAGAAAUUGUUGGAGGAGUGUCUGAUGAGUGGUGAUUUUACCACUCAUUCUAGUCUCUUUUCUUUAGUUUUUAUGUCCUUUAACUAUAAUAUGAGGUCGUUUAUGGUGUGUAUUGUUAGAUUUUCAGGUAAAUGAUGCCAUGAAGUUAUUUGAAUUAAAUUGAAGUGGAAUUGACCAAAAAGGGUAAAUAUAAUGCAGAACUCUCAUGUGAUUCCGCAUUUGCGGAAGAGUGGUCGCAGAAGCGACCCCGCAUCUGCGAGAAACGGCACGCAUCUGCGGAGCUGAGUUACUUUGCCAAAAACGCAUCUGCGAGUAGAGAACUGCAGAAGCGGUUGCGCAUCUACUCUUAAAGAGCCCGCAUCUGCGGUACCAGAAGUUCCUUCAGUUUUCCGCUUAUGCGUUAAGAUACCGCACAUGCGAGGAUUCUUCUGCAGGUGCGGUCAACCGGCAUCAGAACUUGACUGGAAUGGCAUUUCACAUUUUCUCAAUUCCAAACCCACAUAUACACGACCAAGCCUAUUGGGGGCAUAACUUUGCCAUAUCUUUUGGCUUAUUUUCAGUCUCAAACACUAGAGCGAACAAGUUUUGGGAGCUACAGUUUGCACACACAGUUUUGUCUUGAAGAUUUGAAACUUUUGGUUGAGAAUUUCUUACCCAUUUAUGUUCAUUUCUCCAUUUCCUUGCUUUGCAUUUAAUAUCUAAGUGUGUAGUAUUUUAUCCAACACUUGAAUCUUAUUUAUGGAAAUAUUCUUGUUUAAAAUGUGGAAUAAAUAUCUUGUUGUGCUUAUUUAUUGAAUGAUUUUUAUCUUUUUAUGAAGUGAGUUAUUGUUCUUUAAUUAUUCUUGUUCUUUAAUGUUUCCAAAGGGAUUAGCUAACCCUAGGACUUGCUCAUUAACUCCGAAUUAAUUUUGGGAAAGAUUAUUUGGGGUUGAAAAAGAUUAAUUAACAAGAACUUGAGGCUUUAACCCUCAUUUUAUAGAUUCUACCUAGGGAUAAGAUUGAACUACUUGUAACCAUAAUCGGGUAUGUUUAAUCUCCUAAUUGUUUUAGGGAUAAUUCAAUUAGGAAGUUUUGUUAGUCUUUGGAAGAAGUUAAUAUAGAAUUAUUACCCGUGGCUAAUUAACUUAAACUCACUCAUAUUUAUAAAAUCGUGAAAUACAUUGGAUCGUUACUUGAGUAUAAUUCCAUAUGUAUUCAUACUUGUAGCCAUUGAUCAUUUUACUUGCUUUCUAGGUUAGUUUACAUUUCAUCAUUUAGGAAUAAAUAUUUUCUAAAAAUAAUUCUAAGUGUUUGGCAUUGCAUAACAAGUGAUAAUUCUCUUACAUUCCUAAUCGCCUAUAUACUGUUCUCUGUGGGAUUCGAUCCCGACUCAUAGUUGGGUAAAUUAUAUCGCAUGCGACCGUAUUCAUUUACUUUUUAGUAGUGUAUUUGGAUGUCAUCAAAAUUGGUGCCGUUGCCGGAAAACAAUUUGGCAUAAUUUAGGUUGUUUGAGAAAUAGCGUAAGUGCUUUGGUUCAAACUUGUGAAUAUUUGUGUGAUUAUUUUUCUUGACUUGGUCAAGUUUUCUUGUUUGUUUCUUGUUUAUUUUUUUAGUUUUUGAAAGAAAGAAAAAUUGGCAUCAUAUAAUAAAAACUGGUCAGAUAGUAGUUGUUCAUACUUUGAUGACCCUUGUCCUUAUUGUGGAGGACCACACUCUUGGCAAAAUUAUUUAAAUUCUCCUGGGGGUGGAUUGUGCGCACAAUCUCAAACCUAUGAGUGGAGUAUAUGUGAUAAGUGUGGUCAUCAAAAUGGUGAUGAAGAUGAUUGUGAUUAUUUGUCCUCCCCUUCCCCAAGCCCCCGCUAUCAUGAUUCUACUUUUUUGUGAUGAAACUGAUAGGGCUAUGGAAGUGGAAGAAGUCGAGCAUGGUCAAAAUGGAGAGUUCAAGCUCAUGUUAGAAUGCCAAAUUAAAGGAGGAAACAAAGAACAAAGUGCAUUGGAGGAGCUUUUGGAAAAUAGUCUCCAAAACAACUUGGCACUUGAAAGCUUGAACUUGCAAUUGGAAGAAAUGCUUGAAGCUUUAGAGGUCCAAAAAGCCUUGGAAGUUAAUGAUAGCCAAAAAUCUUCCUUGGAGGUUGAAGUCGAAAAUCCUUCCUUGGCACUUGAUCAAACCAAGAAGAACUCUCAAAUGCUCAAAAUGAGAAGAUGAUGCUCAUCUCGGAGACCAUUCUUGAAAAUAAGGAGAAGCACAACUGUGCAAUCGAGGACUUGAAACAAGGCUUGACUCAUAAUGAUGAACAUAUCCGCACUUUGGAAGGUCAAAUAAAAAUAUUGGUUGAGGCUCACUAUGCCCACCAACUUGAGAGUGUGGAAAGAAGUCAAGAAGAGUCCGACUACGAGGAAGAAAGUGAGUUCUACUUUGAGGAAUCAAGAAUUUAACAUCCGUCAACCGACUCCAUGAGUGUUUGUGAUGCCAAGAAAAAUAUGAAGUUAGAGUCAACCGGUGUGAAUGAAAAUAUGAUUGAGAUUGACUCUAAUCUGGGGAAAAAAGAUGAUGUCAAAAUCCGGGAAGAAUUUGUGACGACCCGGCCGGUCGUCUUAAGAAUUAACGCCCCAAUCCCCUAUUAACUGCUUUCUCCGAGUUUAUUUCUGCUAUUUUGAUUUGUCGGGAUGUUCGGUUUUGAAUUUCGGAGAGUUUUGGGAUACUUAGUCCCUAAAUGAGAGCUUAAGUAUUAGAAAGUUGAUCGUAGUCGGAACAGUGCGAAGACGGCCUCGGAAUGGAAAUUCAAUGGUUCGGUUAGCUCCGUUGGGUGAUUUCGGGCUUAAGGGCAUGUUCAGAUUGUAUUUUGGAGGUCCGUAGCUAAUAUAGGCUUGAAAUGCCGAAAGGUCGAAUUUUUAAAUUUCUGGUUCGAUAGUAAGAUUUUGAUCCGAGUGUCGAAAUGGAAUUCCGGAAGUUGGAGAAGCUCCGUAGUGUUUAAUGUGACGAGUGUGCAAAAUUUCAGGUAAUUCGGACGUGGUUUUAUAGACUUUUUGAUCGAAGCGUAUUUUUAGAGUUUUUGGAAUUCUUAGGCUUGAAUCCGAUGAAAAAUAGGUGUUUUGAUAUUGUUCUGAGUGUUCCGAAGGUUGGAACAAGUUUGAAUGAAGUUAUGGAAUAUGUUGGUAGGUUGCGGGUGAGUUUCGGGUGGUCAAUCGGACCAUUUUAUGAUGUUUGAAGUUGCAAAAAACGGUUGUGUGUGUUGCAAACCAGUUGUUCUUCGCGUUCACGAGUGGACCCUCGCGUUCGCGAAGGGUUAGGAUGUGGAGCUAAAGGUUUGGCCUUCGCGUUCGCGAAGGGCUGUGGUCUUUGAACUACGUGUUCGCGAGAAGGGAGUCGCAUUCGCGAUGGGCUGGGAAGUUGAGCCUUCGCGUUCGCGAAUAAGGGGACGCGCUCGCGAAGAAGGAAAAGUGGUCAAUGGCAGUUUGUGCUUCGCGAACGCGAGGCUUUGACCGCGUUCGCGAAAAAGGAUUUAAAUGCUUGGGCAUGCAGAAUGAUUUAAAAGGCCUAUUCCGCGAUUUUGAGCCUAAGUUCCUCUAUUUUUGGGCAAUUUUGAAGCUUUUUAAAGGGGAUUGAAGAGGGAUUCAAGGGGAUUCACUUGAAGGUAAUAUUUUUGACUUCAUAACUCAUUUAUAUGUAAUUAAAGACCUAAUUGGUGGUGAGAAAUUUGGAAAAAAUGGAUAAUUAGGGCUUGAGAUUAAGAGACCUUAACAUGGGUAUUUGAGGGGUCAAUUAAACUCUGAUUUUAGUGUUCUUAUUAUGUAUAGACUCGUGAAGGUACGAGGUUUUUCAAAAUGUAAAUUUUACCCGAUUCUGAGACGUGGGCCCGAGGGGCAUUUUGGUCAUUUUACCUAAUUUUGCGUAUUAGCUUAGAAUUUUUAUGUAGAAUCAGUUACUUGAAGUGUUAUUUACGUUAUGAAAUUGAAUUGAAUAGAUUUGGGACAUUUGGAGUCGAGUAGUCGUGGCAAGAGUGUGGUUUCGGAUUGAUUAUUGAGCCGAUUCGAGGCAAGUGGCUUGUCUAACCUUGUGGGGGGAACCUUCCCCUUAGGAUUGGUAUAUUUGGUAAUUGAAAUGCUUUGUACGUGAGGUGACGAAUGUGUACUUCUGCUAAUUGUUGGAAAUCCGAUUUUCAUUAAGUAAUCACUAGUAUGUUUCCUUUCCUGUUUUUAUUACUUGCACUAUUAAGCCAUUGUUAGCUUAGGAAAGCAUGUCUAAGUGACUUAAUUACUUUAUUUGUUCAACCUGCCUUACCUGAAUUCUGUGCAGCAUGCUAGGCUAGAAUCACUUGGUUGCCUUAAUAUGAAAAUUGUAAUUUCUGUAUAUUUUCAUGUUGCUGCUGUAUAUUUAUUUUGAGACUACGGAUGUGGGAUUUCGGUAGCUCCCCUUUGUCUGUUUAUUUUGGGACUAUGGAUGUGAGAUUCUGGUAGAUCCCCCUGCACAGUUAUAUAGAACUACGGAAAUGCACCCGGUAGAUUCCCCUAGUACUGGGUAUUUACAUUUGGGACUACGGAUCGGAAUUCUGGUAGAUCCCCCCCCCCCCACUAUGAGUUGGACUACGGGACGGGAUCCCGGGAGAUCUUUGGAUAUGCAUAUUUGGGACUACAGGACGGUAUCCUGAGAGAUCCCCGAUUGUUAUUUCGGUGCUGGACCUUAUCUCUUUUCUGUGUUUACAUUGUCUCUGUAAUAGUUGUGGUUGCCCUUUUAUACCUUGUGUUACUUUUAUUGCUGCACUUAUUUACAAUAUUUUGUCCUGUACUUUUGCUCUUUAUAACUAUUUUAACCUCAGUAGGGCCCUGACCUUCUUUGUCACUACCCGACCGAGGUUAGGCUCGUCACUUACUGAGUACCAUGUGGUGUACUCAUGCCCUUUCUACGCAUAUUUUUUUUCAUGUGGAUCCAAGUACGUCGAAUCAGUCCUACCACUCGUGAGGCAAGGCGACUGCUCUAGAGACUUCGAGGUACAUCUGUCGCGUCCGCAGACCGAGGAGUCCCUUUCCACUCUAGCUUUUAAACAUUUGCCCUUUUGUAUUUCUUUCCUUGUUAGAUAUUCUGGAGCUAGAUAUUGUUGGAUAUUCAAAGGCUUGUAGUUCGUGAGUUUCCGAAUUUUGGGAUAGUGUACUUAAUUCUGAGAAUAUUGUGUUGUAUAUGUCGAGCGGCAUUUUAACUAUUAUUUUCAUUCGGUUAUUUUGGCUUUUGAUUAUUUCUUCUACAAGUUUCGUUUAUGUUUCGCAUUUGUUAGGCUUAACUAGUCGUAGAGACUAGGUGCCGUCACGACAGUUCACGGAGGGCGAACUGGGGUCGUGACAGAAUUACAAUUUGGAGGUUUGAUGUCACAUUCCAAGCAUUUUUCAACAUUGGAAUUGUGUGGUGAUAUGGGAAUUAAACUACAAGAAUCAAUGAGGGAUUGUUAGGAGGAAAGAUAAAGGCCAUACUUUUUACAAUUUGAGGGAACAAGAAGGCAAAAUGACAUUCCUCACAUGAAAUCCAAGAAGUGCAAAAUGAAGAAAUUAAGGUUUGGCUUGAUCAUCUGCUUACCACCCCCACCGCUCGUGGUAAACUUGAUUUGCGUCGUUCCACGACGUUAAAUGCCGCGAUUGGUGGGAGGCAACCCAUUAUUUUUCAAAAUUUUUAGUCAUUUUUGAAAUUUUCUUUUCUUAAAAUAGAUUAGUAUGUUAUUGUUGACUAAUCUCCCAAGUUUCAGAUUUUUUGGAGUUGAAUUAAGGAGUUUGGGAUGUUGGAAUGGCACAAAACAGUAGUUACCCAGAAUUGGUCACUAGAACUUGUUGUUGUCACACCUCCUUUUUCCCCAGGGGGAUAGGUAGUUUUUCCAAUUAAAGUGACAUUAAUCGAAAUGGACCUAUUUAUUUAUUCAGAGUCACCACUUGGAAUAUUUAUGGUAUUUUAAGUCACCAGUUUAUUCUAAAUUCCAAAUCGAGGAAAUUGACUCUUAUUAAAAUCUGCGAAACGAGAAGAUCGGGUAAGGAAUUCUGUUAACCCAGGAGAAGGUGUGAGGCACUCCCGAGUUCCGUGAUUUUAGCACUGUCGCUCAACUAUUAAUAAUUGACCUAAUUAUCUGAUUAAUUACAUAUUUUAAACCUAUUGUGUAUUUUUUAACUUUCUAACCGCUUUUAAAUUAUUUAAAACAAUUAUGUAAUUUGUUUGAACAAGUCGCGAUGUCGCGCACUCGUUUAUUUUUGUACAUAUUGCGAAUCGCGUCACGGGAACCGUUCCCACUAUCUACAACAUGUUUAUUUUAUUAUUAUUCGAAGUUCUGGUUGAGUCACGUAAAAUGCACACUCGAAUUGGGAUUUAUGUAUCGUGACCAUGCCACGGGAACCGUACUCAUAAUCACGAUAAUUUAUUAUUAAUCACGCUUGAAGCAAGCUACGAUAUUCAUUGAUUAUUUUCUUAAAAGCUAAUUUGAGAUUAUUGUGAGGCCAUGACUUAUGGAUAAGAAUUAUGGAAGAAAUGUAAAAUACAUCUAUUUGGGAUUAUUAACAAGUGAUCUACACUUAUAGAAUCAAAUACCGAAGGACAACACAAAGAAUCCUCAGAAGAAAUAACGGUUUAACUACUGAAUUUUUAAUUAUCAAACCUUUCUAAUCUCAUUAAACUGUUUCCUCAUAACCUUCACAUAAAAAAUCAAACCUUAUUAAAAUCAUAACUUUAAUAUGUAUAUUCUCUGCAUCAACGCAAAUUAAAUGAUCAACUCAAGAUUACAUUUAUUUAAUUGACUCCAGUUAACUAACCAAUUGUUCCAUUUCGAAACACGGAGAAUGCAAAUUGUUCCAUUUUUUAAUAACUUUAAUCUGUAUAUUUAAAAUUUCAAGAAUGCAAAUUCAUUCAAACCAAAAACACUAAGGUAGAACACUAAAAAUUCUUGAAUUAAUUAAAGAAAGGAGAUAGAAAGGGACCUCAAACAGAGUGUCGCCUAUUAAUGAGAAUCUCCAACUUUACAAUUUCGGUUUGGAUGCAAAAUUGCUACGGCAAGCGAUGACGACUGAAACCUGAACCACGGACGCCUGACGGACCUCAAAUCGGAAAGAGUGAACAACGAUCUCAAACGGAAUAUCUCACCGGAAAACUCGAAUACCUCAUAAAUCGGGAGGUUGGGCAUGGGACGGAAAGAUAUCUUUUUCCAUUUGCGGCUGGUUCUGGGUUGAGCUAUGGAGUGUUGCGUCGGAGUGCUGUUGGUUUAAUUUGGAAAUGGAGAGAAAGAGAUGGUUUUAAGGGGCAGUGUGGGGGGUUGAGGUGAGAGCUUCAGCCAAAAAAAUGGGGAAAUGGCUGCUGCUUCUUGGAUGAAGAAGAAGGGGUCAUCUCUGGAUGCUGCCUAGGGGUGUUCAAGAGUGAAGAAGAGGAAGUUCGGGGGGGGGGGGGGGGGUGUUUUUUGGGGUUCAAGAUGAUAGAAAUUGCUGGGAGGGGUUUACAGAAUUAUUAGGGGGUUUUUUGGUAUCAGGCUUGGAUUUAUG